AAGGAUCAUUACACAAAUAUGAAGGCGGGCUGGAAUCUCUCGGGGUUACAGCCUUGCUGAAUUAUUCACCCUUGUCUUUUGCGUACUUCUUGUUUCCUUGGUGGGUUCGCCCACCACUAGGACAAACAUAAACCUUUUGUAAUUGCAAUCAGCGUCAGUAACAAAUUAAUAAUUACAACUUUCAACAACGGAUCUCUUGGUUCUGGCAUCGAUGAAGAACGCAGCGAAAUGCGAUAAGUAGUGUGAAUUGCAGAAUUCAGUGAAUCAUCGAAUCUUUGAACGCACAUUGCGCCCUUUGGUAUUCCAAAGGGCAUGCCUGUUCGAGCGUCAUUUGUACCCUCAAGCUUUGCUUGGUGUUGGGCGUCUUGUCUCUAGCUUUGCUGGAGACUCGCCUUAAAGUAAUUGGCAGCCGGCCUACUGGUUUCGGAGCGCAGCACAAGUCGCACUCUCUAUCAGCAAAGGUCUAGCAUCCAUUAAGCCUUUUUUUCAACUUUUGACCUCGGAUCAGGUAGGGAUACCCGCUGAACUUAAGCAUAUCAAUAAGCCGGAGGAA
rnacentral:rRNA from 2 species